UGGAACAACGCUGUUGUGAAGAGCUGCUUGUGAGUAAAACCACCCAGAAGAUAUGGGACUCUAGAAAUAUAACAACAGGUCAGGUGGGCCUAUCUGUUAUGGAUUGAUUUGCUCUUGUACAGAGACACCAAUCCAUGAUCGAAUCAUCCAAAAUUUUGCUGCUGACACCAGAGUCACAUCUUGAUCUGCUGGCUCUUGCUGGUUUUGCCCUCAUCAUUCCUCCCAAAAGGAAGACUAGAGGAGGAUGCUCCUUGCACUUCUGCUUGUUUAACUAGCUCCCCAAGGCCCUAAAGUCUCUAUUAAUUAUUCUUGGACUUCUUGUUGGAACUUCAUCACAACCUACCUCAAAAAUUUCUUUUGGAAUUACUUGGCACAUGCAUGAUGCAAACUCAAGAGCAUACACCAAAAUUUAUUAACCUGGAGGAAAAAGCCCCAGAUUUUAAGCUAUCAGAAGAGUCUGCAUGUGACCUGAAAGAGGAUUAAAGGUCAUUUGAUUAUGUGAGGCAAGGAGAUGAAUUAUUAAAAGUCACUAUAUCAGAACUGGACAUCAAAGAUUUAUAACAGGGUAUGAAAAAAUAAUGCUGAACUGGCAGUACUUUUCCUGAAAGAGGGUGGCUCCAAAUGGCCCCAUAGUUUUGUAAAUGAGAUAAAUAUUAACCCUGAUGUACAGGUUUUUCUUCAGCAUACACCUUUAUCUUUAGUAAAAAAUAAAGCUGAGGAAUGCAUCAAUUUCCCACAAAUCAUUGGAGCAAAUAAAA